UACAGAGGGUGCGAGCGUUGUUCGGAAUUAUUGGGCGUAAAGGGCGCGUAGGCGGUGCGGUAAGUCACCUGUGAAUCUCCUGGCUCAACUGGGAGCUUGCAGGCGAAACUGCCGUGCUGGAGUGUGGGAGAGGUGCGUGGAAUUCCUGGUGUAGCGGUGAAAUGCGUAGAUAUCAGGAGGAACACCUGUGGCGAAAGCGGCGCACUGGACCACAACUGACGCUGAGGCGCGAAAGCUAGGGGAGCAAACAGG
rnacentral:rRNA from 1 species